AUUUUAAUCGCAGGGUACAUCCUCGAUUUGUUGUGCAAACUUUUCUACCAGAAAUCUCGCUCCGAUGUAUCGAGUGUAGCUAAUUUUCUAAAAUGACAUUUUAUCUCCAUGGUAAUUUAGGGAGGUCCUUUUUUUUUGAUUUUUCAAGUGAUUUUCAUAAUAUCUGGGAAAAAACGACAUAAAAUGUCGGAAAAACGGAAAAU